rnacentral:rRNA from 1 species
GAUGAACGCUGGCGGCGUGCUUAACACAUGCAAGUCGAACGAUGAAGCCCAGCUUGCUGGGUGGAUUAGUGGCGAACGGGUGAGUAACACGUGAGUAACCUGCCCUUAACUCUGGGAUAAGCCUGGGAAACUGGGUCUAAUACCGGAUAGGAGCGUCCACCGCAUGGUGGGUGUUGGAAAGAUUUAUCGGUUUUGGAUGGACUCGCGGCCUAUCAGCUUGUUGGUGAGGUAAUGGCUCACCAAGGCGACGACGGGUAGCCGGCCUGAGAGGGUGACCGGCCACACUGGGACUGAGACACGGCCCAGACUCCUACGGGAGGCAGCAGUGGGGAAUAUUACACAAUGGGCGCAAGCCUGAUGCAGCGACGCCGCGUGAGGGAUGACGGCCUUCGGGUUGUAAACCCCUUUCAGUAGGGAAGAAGCGAAAGUGACGGUACCUGCAGAAGAAGCACCGGCUAACUACGUG